rnacentral:rRNA from 1 species
AUGCAUGAUCAGGUCGGCCUCGACCUAGACGACUUCCCGCUCGACCACGAGUUUCUGGAGGACUACGCACAAGAGGAAGAUGAUGACUUGGACAUCAAAGUGGAGCAUUUGUUCGAGGACGAGCUCGCCAACCAAGCCACUGGGGUGAAGCCCAAGCGCUAGAGCAAGCGGAUGAAGGCAUACGCGGUGGCCAAGGACAAGCUCAUUUGUGAGUGUUGGAGGGACAUUGGGCAAGACCCCAAGACCGGCGCCAAACGAAAAGCUUUAACCUUUUGGAUUCAUGUCCACCGUGAGUUCCAUGAGUGCAAGAAGUUUCCGCCAUACCAAAUGGAAAGCAUGCGCGGGUGGGUGUCCAUUUCGAAGCGAUGGAGGAUGAUCCAACGAGAAUGCAACAAGUUUUGUGCCACUCUUGAGAGCAUCAAGGCACGCCCCAUGAGCGGCAUCGACAUGCAAGACAUGGUAUGCUAG